rnacentral:misc_RNA from 1 species
UUUUUUUCGUGCAAUACUCCGUCUCUUCCUUUGCUGCUUCCGUUCAGACCUCCGAUCUCCAAGCCAAAUGCGAUUCUGUUUCUGCUCAAAUUUCCGCUGUUGUUGCUUUACUCUGCUUGAUUCUUGCCUUCCAGCCUAGGAUUUUCAUUGCUGAUGUUGGAUUGGCCGGCGCCAUUUGCUUGCAGGGCCUUUGGGUUCUUCAGACUGGGCUUUCGCUUUAUGUUGAAGCGUUUAUUCCUGAAGGUUGUCAUCGGUUGCUUGAUGUGGUGAGUGGGGUUGAGGGUUCCACCAAGUGUGAUCUGGAGGAAUCUAGGUUGAGGGCGGUAGCUAUUUUGGAUCUUUUGUUUGUGGUUCACGUCAUGUUUGUGGUUCUCAUUGUUAUGGUUACAUACGCUGUUAUGGCUAGGACUUUUGGGGUCAGAAGAAUGGGGUCAUACGAGGCUUUGCCUACUACUGCUUCUGAUUCUAAUCAUAUUCAGAUGAAGGCCUUGACUGGCACCCAGGCUUGAUUUUUUGGACUUUGGCGGUGGUGCGCUUUCCCCUUUAGUCCCUCUCUUUCUUUGUUAAAAUAGAUUUUUCUUUUAAAAAAAAUUCUUUUGUUAUGAUUCUUGUGGUACUGGGGAAUCAUAUAUUGCGUCGCUUGUUUUAGCUUAUCUCAACACUGUAACCUCCUGGAAAUUGAGGGAUUUUUGUGCAUAGAAAGUGUCUCCUUUUUUAUUUGAUUAAACUAUUUGGCAGUGUCUUCACUGGAUUUUUUCUUUAUCUCACUUUGAGUACUAGCUUCUUUGAUAGUGCAAACUCCAAUGAUAUAAGGGAUAGAAAUUUAGUAAAAAAAAAAAAGGAGACACUUUCUAUGCACAAAA